CUUUUAUAUAUAUAUAUAUAUAUAUAUAUAUAUAUAUGUUUCAAACUUCAUGUUUCUAUAACGA
ensembl:ncRNA H32C10.94 ncRNA